GGCUGUGGCUCAGCGGUAGAGCACUGGUCUCACAUGUGUGAGGCCCUGAGUUGGAUCCUCAGCACCA
rnacentral:tRNA from 1 species